UAGGGAAUCUUCGGCAAUGGACGAAAGUCUGACCGAGCAACGCCGCGUGAGUGAAGAAGGUUUUCGGAUCGUAAAACUCUGUUGUUAGAGAAGAACAAGGACGUUAGUAACUGAACGUCCCCUGACGGUAUCUAACCAGAAAGCCACGGCUAACUACGUGCCAGCAGCCGCGGUAAUACGUAGGUGGCAAGCGUUGUCCGGAUUUAUUGGGCGUAAAGCGAGCGCAGGCGGUUUCUUAAGUCUGAUGUGAAAGCCCCCGGCUCAACCCGGGAGGGUCAUUGGAAACUGGGAGACUUGAGUGCAGAAGAGGAGAGUGGAAUUCCAUGUGUAGCGGUGAAAUGCGUAGAUAUAUGGAGGAACACCAGUGGCGAAGGCGGCUCUCUGGUCUGUAACUGACGCUGAGGCUCGAAAGCGUGGGGAGCAAACAGG
rnacentral:rRNA from 1 species